rnacentral:rRNA from 1 species
UAGGGAAUCUUCCGCAAUGGGCGAAAGCCUGACGGAGCAACGCCGCGUGAGUGAUGAAGGUCUUCGGAUCGUAAAACUCUGUUAUUAGGAAGAACAAAUGUGUAAGUAACUAUGCACGUCUUGACGGUACCUAAUCAGAAAGCCACGGCUAACUACGUGCCAGCAGCCGCGGUAAUACGUAGGUGGCAAGCGUUAUCCGGAAUUAUUGGGCGUAAAGCGCGCGUAGGCGGUUUUUUAAGUCUGAUGUGAAAGCCCACGGCUCAACCGUGGAGGGUCAUUGGAAACUGGAAAACUUGAGUGCAGAAGAGGAAAGUGGAAUUCCAUGUGUAGCGGUGAAAUGCGCAGAGAUAUGGAGGAACACCAGUGGCGAAGGCGACUUUCUGGUCUGUAACUGACGCUGAUGUGCGAAAGCGUGGGGAUCAAACAGG